rnacentral:rRNA from 1 species
UACAGAGGGUGCAAGCGUUGUUCGGAAUUAUUGGGCGUAAAGGGCGUGUAGGCGGUUUAGCAAGUCAGAUGUGAAAUCCCGGGGCUUAACUCCGGAAGUGCAUUUGAAACUGCUAGGCUAGAGUGUAGUAGAGGAUGGUGGAAUACCCAGUGGAGAGGUGAAAUUCGUAGAUAUUGGGUGGAACACCGGUGGCGAAGGCGACCAUCUGGGCUACAACUGACGCUGAGGCGCGAGAGCGUGGGGAGCAAACAGG